AGCUCGUAGUUGAAUUUCGGGAUUGGCGCAUCGGUCGUGCCUCACGGGGUAUGAACUGGUGCAGUCAAUUUCUCACCUUCUGGAGAACCGCGAUGUCCUUAAUUGGAUGCCGUGGGGAACCAGGACCUUUACUUUGAAAAAAUUAGAGUGUUUAAAGCAGGCAUUUUUGCUUGAAUACAUUAGCAUGGAAUAAUAAAAUAGGACGGCAUGGUUCUAUUUUGUUGGUUUCUAGGACCACCGUAAUGAUUAAUAGGGAUAGUUGGGGGCAUUAGUAUUCAAUUGUCAGAGGUGAAAUUCUUGGAUUUAUUGAAGACUAACUACUGCGAAAGCAUUUGCCAAGGAUGUUUUCAUUAAUCAAGAACGAAAGUUAGGGGAUCGAAGACGAUCAGAUACCGUCGUAGUCUUAACCAUAAACUAUGCCGACUAGGAAUCAGACGAUGUUAAUUUUUUAAUGACUCGUUCGGCACCUUACGGGAAAC
rnacentral:rRNA from 1 species